rnacentral:rRNA from 1 species
UACGUAGGUGGCAAGCGUUGUUCGGAUUUAUUGGGCGUAAAGGGCGCGCAGGCGGUUCGUUAAGUUCGAGGUGAAAUCUCCCGGCUCAACUGGGAGGGGUCUUCGGAUACUGGCGGACUUGAGGAGUGCAGAGGUGAGUGGAAUUCUCGGUGUAGUGGUGAAAUGCGUAGAUAUCGAGAGGAACACCAGUGGCGAAGGCGGCUCACUGGGCACCACCUGACGCUGAGGCGCGAAAGCGUGGGGAGCGAACCGG